rnacentral:rRNA from 1 species
UGCGUAGGCGGCGCUGCAAGUCAGAUGUGAAAUCCCCGGGCUUAACCCGGGAUCUGCAUUUGAAACUGCAGUGCUUGAGUGCAGGAGAGGAAAGCGGAAUUCCUAGUGUAGCGGUGAAAUGCGUAGAUAUUAGGAAGAACACCAGUGGCGAAGGCGGCUUUCUGGACUGUUACUGACGCUGAGGCACGAAAGCGUGGGGAGCAAACAG